rnacentral:rRNA from 1 species
UACGGGGGGAGCAAGCGUUGUUCGGAUUUACUGGGCGUAAAGGGCGCGUAGGCGACCUCUGCAAGUCGACUGUGAAAUCUCCGGGCUUAACCCGGAAAGGUCAGCCGAUACUGCAGGGCUAGAGUGCAGAAGGGGCAACUGGAAUUCUCGGUGUAGCGGUGAAAUGCGUAGAUAUCGAGAGGAACACCUGCGGCGAAGGCGGGUUGCUGGGCUGACACUGACGCUGAAGCGCGAAAGCUAGGGGAGCGAACGGG